rnacentral:rRNA from 1 species
GACGAACGCUGGCGGCGUGCUUAACACAUGCAAGUCGAACGGAAAGGCCCUGCUUUUGUGGGGUGCUCGAGUGGCGAACGGGUGAGUAACACGUGAGUAACCUGCCCUUGACUUUGGGAUAACUUCAGGAAACUGGGGCUAAUACCGGAUAGGAGCUCCUGCUGCAUGGUGGGGGUUGGAAAGUUUCGGCGGUUGGGGAUGGACUCGCGGCUUAUCAGCUUGUUGGUGGGGUAGUGGCUUACCAAGGCUUUGACGGGUAGCCGGCCUGAGAGGGUGACCGGCGACAUGGGGACUGAGAGACGGCGCAGACUCCUACGGGAGGCAGCAGUGGGGAAUAUUGCACAAUGGGCGGAAGUCUGAUGUAGCAACGCCGCGUGCGGGAUGACGGCCUUCGGGUUGUAAACCGCUUUCGCCUGUGACGAAGCGUGAGUGACGGUAAUGGGUAAAGAAGCACCGGCUAACUACGUG